rnacentral:rRNA from 1 species
CAGGGGCUCUUCUCUUUUGGGUGGAGGGGCGAGGGGUGAUAAAACUGGUAACACCUCCAAUUAAAGAGGGGGGAACUUCGGGAGACCGGGGAUUAAACCCGGGAAUAUAUAUCCACCCGUCUUUGUUAAAAAGGAGAAAGCGUGUUUCGCUUCACAUUAAGAAAGGCUCCCGCGCCCCCUUUUAGUUAUUUGGAAAAGGAACCGCUUUACCAGAGGAAAGUGUUUGUUCGCCCCCCUGAGGAGGGUGUUCCGCCCCACAGGGAAAAUGAGACCCGCUUCCAAGAUUCCUAGGGGGAGCCACCAGUAGGAAUCUCUCCCCAAGUGGAGAAACCCUGACGGAACAACCCCCGCGUGAGUGAUGAAGGUCUUCGGAUCGAAAAACUUUGGUUAUUAGGGAAGAACAAAUGUGUAAGUAACUAUGCACGUCUUGACGGUACCUAAUCAGAAAGCCACGGCUAACUACGUGCCAGCAGCCGCGGUAAUACGUAGGUGGCAAGCGUUAUCCGGGAAUUAUUGGGCGUAAAGCGCGCGUAGGCGGUUUUUUAAGUCUGAUGUGAAAGCCCACGGGUUCAACCCGUGGAGGGUCAUUGGAAACUGGAAAACUUGAGUGCAGAAGAGGAAAGUGGAAUUCCAUGUGUAGCGGUGAAAUGCGCAGAGAUAUGGAGGAACACCAGUGGCGAAGGCGACUUUCUGGUCUGUAACUGACGCUGAUGUGCGAAAGCGUGGGGAUCAAACAGGAUUAGAUACCCUGGUAGUCCACGCCGUAAACGAUGAGUGCUAAGUGUUAGGGGGUUUCCGCCCCUUAGUGCUGCAGCUAACGCAUUAAGCACUCCGCCUGGGGAGUACGACCGCAAGGUUGAAACUCAAAGGAAUUGACGGGGACCCGCACAAGCGGUGGAGCAUGUGGUUUAAUUCGAAGCAACGCGAAGAACCUUACCAAAUCUUGACAUCCUCUGACCCCUCUAGAGAUAGAGUUUUCCCCUUCGGGGGACAGAGUGACAGGUGGUGCAUGGUUGUCGUCAGCUCGUGUCGUGAGAUGUUGGGUUAAGUCCCGCAACGAGCGCAACCCUUAAGCUUAGUUGCCAUCAUUAAGUUGGGCACUCUAAGUUGACUGCCGGUGACAAACCGGAGGAAGGUGGGGAUGACGUCAAAUCAUCAUGCCCCUUAUGAUUUGGGCUACACACGUGCUACAAUGGACAAUACAAAGGGUAGCGAAACCGCGAGGUCAAGCAAAUCCCAUAAAGUUGUUCUCAGUUCGGAUUGUAGUCUGCAACUCGACUAUAUGAAGCUGGAAUCGCUAGUAAUCGUAGAUCAGCAUGCUACGGUGAAUACGUUCCCGGGUCUUGUACACACCGCCCGUCACACCACGAGAGUUUGUAACACCCGAAGCCGGUGGAGUAACCAUUUGGAGCUAGCCGUCGAAGGUGGACAAAUGAUUGGGGGAAGUCGAAACAAAGAGCUAGGGG